rnacentral:tRNA from 3 species
AGGGGUAUAGCUCAAUUGGCAGAGCGUCGGUCUCCAAAACCGAAGGUUGUAAGUUCGAUUCUUACUGCCCCUGCCA